GUCUAUGGCCAUGCCACCCUGAACAAAUCUGAUUCCGUCUGAUCUUGGAAGCUAAGCAGGGUCGGGCCUGUUUAGUACUUGGAUGGGAGACCGCCAAGGAAGACCAGGUGCUAUAGGCA
rnacentral:rRNA from 1 species